UACGGAGGGGGCGAGCGUUAUUCGGAAUUAUUGGGCGUAAAGGGCGCGUAGGCGGCUGUACAAGUCAAAGGUGAAAUCCCUCGGCUCAACUGAGGAACUGCCUUUGAAACUGUACGGCUUGAGGCCGGGAGGGGGUAGCGGAAUUCCCAGUGUAGCGGUGAAAUGCGUAGAUAUCUGGAGGAACACCGGUGGCGAAGGCGGCAUCCUGGACCAAUUCUGACGCUGAGUGAGCGAAAGCCAGGGGAGCAAACGGG
rnacentral:rRNA from 1 species